rnacentral:rRNA from 1 species
CUACGGAGGGUGCAAGCGUUAAUCGGAAUUACUGGGCGUAAAGCGCGCGUAGGCGGUUAGAUAAGUCGGAUGUGAAAUCCCUGGGCUCAACCUGGGAACUGCAUUCGAUACUGUCUAACUAGAGUAUGGUAGAGGGAAGUGGAAUUCCGGGUGUAGCGGUGAAAUGCGUAGAUAUCCGGAGGAACAUCAGUGGCGAAGGCGACUUCCUGGACCAAUACUGACGCUGAGGUGCGAAAGCGUGGGGAGCAAACAGGAUUAGAAACCCUAGUAGUCC